rnacentral:rRNA from 1 species
GAUGAACGCUGGCGGCGUGCCUAAUACAUGCAAGUCGAGCGAACAGACGAGGAGCUUGCUCCUCUGACGUUAGCGGCGGACGGGUGAGUAACACGUGGAUAACCUACCUAUAAGACUGGGAUAACUUCGGGAAACCGGAGCUAAUACCGGAUAAUAUAUUGAACCGCAUGGUUCAAUAGUGAAAGACGGUUUUGCUGUCACUUAUAGAUGGAUCCGCGCCGCAUUAGCUAGUUGGUAAGGUAACGGCUUACCAAGGCAACGAUGCGUAGCCGACCUGAGAGGGUGAUCGGCCACACUGGAACUGAGACACGGUCCAGACUCCUACGGGAGGCAGCAGUAGGGAAUCUUCCGCAAAGGGCGAAAGCCUGACGGAGCAAUGCCGCGUGAGUGAUGAAGGUCUUCGGAUCGUAAAACUCUGUUAUUAGGGAAGAACAAAUGUGUAAGUAACUAUGCACGUCUUGACGGUACCUAAUCAGAAAGCCACGGCUAACUACGUG